rnacentral:rRNA from 1 species
AUUGAACGCUGGCGGCAGGCCUAACACAUGCAAGUCGAGCGGAUGAAGGGAGCUUGCUCCUGGAUUCAGCGGCGGACGGGUGAGUAAUGCCUAGGAAUCUGCCUUGUAGUGGGGGAUAACGUCCGGAAACGGGCGCUAAUACCGCAUACGUCCUGAGGGGGAAAGUGGGGGGUCUUCGGACCCCACGCUAUCAGAUGAGCCUAGGUCGGAUUAGCUAGUUGGUGGGGUAAAGGCCUACCAAGGCGACGAUCCGUAACUGGUCUGAGAGGAUGAUCAGUCACACUGGAACUGAGACACGGUCCAGACUCCUACGGGAGGCAGCAGUGGGGAAUAUUGGACAAUGGGCGAAAGCCUGAUCCAGCCAUGCCGCGUGUGUGAAGAAGGUCUUCGGAUUGUAAAGCACUUUAAGUUGGGAGGAAGGGCAGUAAGUUAAUACCUUGCUGUUUUGACGUUACCAACAGAAUAAGCACCGGCUAACUUCGUG